rnacentral:rRNA from 1 species
AGAGUUUGAUCCUGGCUCAGAAUGAACGCUGGCGGCGCGCCUAAUACAUGCAAGUCGAGCGAGAAGACGUAGCAAUACGUUUGUAAAGCGGCGAACGGGUGAGGAAUACAUGGGUAACCUACCCUUGAGUGGGGAAUAACUAGCCGAAAGGUUAGCUAAUACCGCGUACGCUUCUUGGACUUCGGUUCAGGGAGGAAAGCGCUACCGUGGGUAGCGCGCUCUUGGAUGGGCUCAUGUCCUAUCAGCUUGUUGGUGAGGUAACGGCUCACCAAGGCUUCGACGGGUAGCUGGUCUGAGAGGACGAUCAGCCACACUGGCACUGCGACACGGGCCAGACUCCUACGGGAGGCAGCAGUAAGGAAUAUUGCGCAAUGGGCGAAAGCCUGACGCAGCGACGCCGCGUGGGGGAUGAAGGUCUUCGGAUUGUAAACCCCUUUCGGGAGGGAAGAUGGAAUGGGGUAACCCAUUCGGACGGUACCUCCAGAAGCAG